GUCUUAGGAGUUGCAAAUUCCCUUCCUGAAGUUUGUACUGGGGUUCUAGGGUCCGACUUGAUUUCUGGUGAAGUAACAUAAUCAGGAAUCCCAGAUUCCGGAGAGACAUCUGAGCGAUCUUCAAGGGUAAAUACAGGCGGUGGUGGGAGAUCUGAGCUGGAAAAGUUCUCACGCCAUAAGGCGGAAACAGCUGCUGCCUGACCUGGGGUACAACAGGUGGUGGUGGGAGAUCUGAGCUGGAAAAGUUCUCACGCCAUAAGGCGGAAACAGCUGCUGCCUGACCUGGGGUACUAAAUUUUGACCCUGGUUUUCGAGAGGAUAUAGGCGUU
rnacentral:lncRNA from 1 species